CUUGAAGCAAAUGAGUUCAUCAUGGAUACUGCUCCAUUUUUGUUGGUAAGAUUUCUGUGCAAAAGACUAGCUCCAUAAGCAAGAAUGCUAUAUACUGCUUUACUACCCAAAUUCGUGAUCACACUAAUUGGAGCCUUAACCUUACCAGAUUAAUUCACUGAAAAUCUACCAACAGAAUCUCCCAAAUAUGAGGGACUCCCAUCCAUAUAAUCUCUAAAAGAAAUAAUACCAGCGAAUUAGGCCAAGCUUUAUUAAUCCUGGACAGCUACACAUACAAAUGAAGUCAGUAAUGCGACACCAAAUUGCCUCUACAAGUAACUGACAGACCCAACGUGUAAAUAGAACCACAAAUGGUAAAUUUUCUUUCCUUUGAAGUUUGAACUGUAAUGCUAUCAUGGGAAGAUGAAGCCGGCAUCUGCCCUGGUGUCUGGAGAAAAGGGUUCAAUGUCUGGAGAACAUCCCUUGAGUUAACAUUUCUAAACCAAGUGAGCUUGUUUCUGGUGGUAGUUUUCCUGUUAA
rnacentral:lncRNA from 1 species